rnacentral:lncRNA from 1 species
CAAGCUUCGGGUUAGGAGAAGUUGAUCCCGCAGGUACAAGCUUGGAGUAGACACCGACAGGCCGGGCUUCCUCCAAUCUACACCUCCACUCUAUCUCUCUCAAUCUAGUAGAAACUAGAAGAUCUAUUUCUACUUUACAUUGGUUGCUAAGCCUAAAAAGAAAUAUUAAUUAGAGAAGAGGUUUUCCUUCGAAGGCACCCCUCAAUCUCUAUGAUAAUUUCUUGUCUUCUCCAGGGGCCAGGGGGUCUCCUUAUAUAGUCCUUCUCCUCUAUGUGUUUUUGGGUCGGUAGGCGAGGUGGUACUACAUUAUCUUUGAUCCAUUAGGUCGGUGGAACACUGUGUGCGAAGAGAGUCCCGAACGAAAUCCAGCAGGGGGCGGGCACCCAGGUCACCAGGGCGGGCGCCCUAGGCCUGGCCCCUUUCGGCCUCUACUUUCUUCCCGUGGCUUCUGGAGUCUUCUAGAUGGUAGAAAAUAACGCGGUGCGUUGAUAUCUCUAUGUAAUCCCGACAUGUGGGCCUUUCUUCCUUAUUUCCUGAUAACCCCCUGCAGAAACAGAUAAACAACAAAACUCGUGGAAUUCUGUCAGAUCAAACCCUAAUUCUAGGUGUUGGUUGCAUAUUGGUCCUUUCUCUUGUUUAUUUGAUAAUUAAAAUUGAUACUUAAGAAUCGUCAACAAAUACCCCCAUACUUAGGCUUUUACUCGUCCUCGAGAAAAGGAUGGUUAAGAACAAUACUUGGGGUAAAACAUUCUAAAACAUUCUUUAUAUUUGCAGGGUAUUAAAAUCCAUUGUGUACUGUAGUCAGGGAAAUAUAUGAUUAAGAGUAAAGAUCCUUUCUUCUCAAUCCUGUUACUUGGAGUUUUUGUAUAAUUUUGAAAGAAAGCUAGCAUACCUUUUUGUCCUCAUAGGUUCUCUCAGAUCACUCAUUAUCUUUUAUAUAUCUCACUGAGGCUGUUUUAAUUUGCAAAAAUUCUUAAGCAUACUUACUUUGCAUUUGUUGCCUGAUCAAAAUGGGAUCCAAGGAGGGGAAUGUCAUACUCUUAGAUCAAAGACUUUGGAAAUUAAAAUCUUUGUCAACUCUUGCUGGCAUAUUGCUUAUUAGAGGGACCAUGGGCUAUCAUUUUCUUUUUCUCUCUCUAUUUUUUCUCUUUUUUCUUCUUUUUUUUAAGUGGAUACCGAGGUACCCCUAAUUCUAUUGCCGGACACUUGUCCAUUUUUCCUGCGAGGUUGUCGAGCACUUGCUCCUUUUUAUUUCCUCGAAAUAUCUUUAUUUUUGCAUAGCCCAUGCCUCUAAUGCAAUAAUACUUCGGAAGAGUGAAUCUUUCUGAAUAAAUGUCUUGAUCUUAGGAGUAUGAUAAAUCUCUCAACAAGGGUCUAACUCAUUUUGAACAAACUCAAUACAGAGUAGAUAGCUUUUAUAAUCAUAAUUAAUAUUUUCAGUUUUUUUCAGGCAUAUAAAACACUGAGGAUGGUAGCUAGAAUUUUAAAGAUUUUGAAAUAAAUUCUCCAAGCAACAAUGAUAUCAAGAAUAAGAAACUCUACCAUCUCACAUUUCACACAGUCUUAAGUAACACAGGGUUUUAAAAUGAUUUUAUAAUAAUUGCAAGGUUCAGGAAAUAUAACAGAGUGAGAUUAAUCAUGAUUAGAAAUAUUUUAAUCUUUUUAAUGUAUCAUGUCGGAAACAGUAAUCUGCAUAAUCAAGAUAUGUGAAGUGUAAAGUAAAAUGUGCAGAGUGUGUACCUGAAUCGUGGAGUGGUGUAGUCGGAGUGUGUUUGGCAUGUCGAGGGAUCUCCCCCACACUUGUUUUUUGCUUUCUUGCACAAGAACAAAGUAGAGACACACGAGACAUAAUAAUAAUAAUAAUAAUAAUAAUAAUAAUAAUAAUAAUAAUAUUCUUUAUUAAUCUUGAGGCAUUUAUUACAAAAGACUAGUAGCAAACUGAUGAUAAUAGUAAACCUAAACCGAAUUUAAAGAUAAAUAACUAAGAUGCAUUGCCUCAAGGUCUAAUCUAGAUAACUUAGCGGCGCUCUAAUUCCUUGAUCUUCUUGUUGGCACUAGCAAGAUCCUGCCUAAGGCCUAGUAUGAUGGUGUUGUGGUUAGAGAGCUGCCUAGUGAGGGAAUUAAUCGAGGACUGAAGGUCUAUGAUAACUCUGUCUAGUCUGCGAACGUUCUCAUCAAUAUCCAUUAUAGUCUUGCGACGCGUGGGAGGUGUCUCAAAAGCAUUGAGCGCGUACUUCGGGGCUGCCUUUGGAGGGAUGAAACGGACUUUGGCUGCUCUAAUCCCUUCGAAGUAAGGCCUUUCCUCCUUCGUAGUGUAGCCUACGCUGCUGAUCUCGCCGCUCUGGUUGGUCUUGACUCCAACGACUCUCUCAUUGGGUCUAGGUGGAAGGAUCCUUGUGCUGGUUGGCACCUUGAUGGUGGUCUUCGUCUUGGAUGAUGAUCCCUUGAGGAGUAGGGGUUGUGGCGGUGCGGUGAGAACUGGUUGAGCAUGGUAGGAUUGGGCGAAGCUACGUUGGCGUAAUGGCAUGGCUUCUAGCUAUCGCUCUGUGUUGGCCGGGACGAGAGCACGGGCAUCGGGGUCUUCCACAGGCUCCAUGUUGAGGUUGAAGGGGACAACCUCCCAAUCAUCGUGGUACUUCUCGGCCAUUGGAGCAGGAAGGAACUAAUCAAGCUCUAAUUGAAGGUGAGAAGGCUUGGUGGCUUGGUGUUUGAAAACUGAUGUCAGGGGUCUACUUAUAUAGGGGUAAAAAAGUACCUCUAUGGGUUGUUCGGGUUGCUCCCGUCGAUGUGCGUGCGAAACUUUCCAUCUGAGGGAUUAUUCGGAUUUCCUUAAGUGCAUUUUCCAUAAUAGAGAAAGUCAGGACCGAGGGGGAACAGGAGCUGGGCGCCCGCCCACCUGAUCUGGGCGCCCGCCCUCUCUCUGGCCCCUCUGUGGGCCCACUUUCUCGAGCGCGUUAUUAGAUGCAAAACUAUUUAGAAAAAUAUAUAUAUGACCCGAAAACGUUAGAAUAAAAAGGUCGGGCUUCUAAUUCUCCAUGGGAAGGUGAAAAUGGACUACGUCUAUUUCUUCUAAUUCUUUAUUGGGCUCUAAAAAUAAUUUAAGACGUUGACCAUUUACCUUGAAUAACGUACCUUCGUCAUUUUGAAGUGUGAUAGCUCCAUGGGAUGAUGAAUUAAUUACCUUGAAUGGUCCUUCCCAUUUGCUCCGGAGUUUUCCAUGCCCGAAAAGCUUCACCCUGGAAUUAAAAAGUAAUACCUUAUCUCCGGGUGUGAACUCCUUCUUCUUGAUUCUCUUGUCAUGCCACCUUUUGACUCUUUCUUUGUAGAUCUUUGAAUUGUGAUAUGCCUUCUUUUGCCAUUCUUCCAAUUCUGAUAGUUGCAUUCUUCUAUAAUCUCCAGUAACAUCUAGGUCCAUAUUCCAUCUCUUUAUGGCCCAGUGUGCUUUGAACUCUAGUUCUACGGGUAGAUGGCAAGUCUUCCCGUACACCAAUUGGUAUGGAGACAUUCCAAUUGGGGUCUUGUAUGCUGUCCGGUAUGCCCAGAGUGCAUCGGGUAACUUGUCUUUCCACGCCGUUCCUAUUUCAUUUACUGUCUUCUGAAGAAUAUUCUUGAUUUGUUUGUUGGAAGUCUCUGCUUGGCCACUUGUCUGAUGAUGAUAGGGGGUAGCGACGUUGUGACGGAUUCCAUGUUUUGAUAGAUAUUGCUUGAAGCGUUUGUCGAUGAAGUGUGCUCCUCCAUCACUUAUCACUACUCUGGGAACUCCAAAUCUUGGAAAUAUAAUUUCUUCAAACAUCCUCUUUGAACUGAUGUUGUCGGCAUGCUUGCAAGGUAAUGCCUCUACCCACUUGCAGACAUAGUCAACUGCCACCAAGAUGUACUCGCACUUCUUUGAUGGAGGAAAUGGUCCCAUGUAGUCUAUUCCCCAUACAUCAAAGAGCUCAAUCUAAAGGUUGUUGGUGAGUGGCAUUCCAUCCCUUGUGUUUAUGUUUCCGUGCCUUUGACAUGACCCACAUCUUCUAAUAUAUUGCUUCGUGUCUUCAUACAUUGUAGGCCAGUAGAAUCCGCACUGCCAGAUCUUUGAAUGUGUACGGAAUGCUCCAUAGUGACCUCCAUAUGGUGAGGAAUGGCAUCUGUCGAUGAUCUUCCAUCCUUCCUCAGUGGUCACACACCUCCUGAGUAAGCCAUCAGAGCAUACUCGGAAGAGGUAUGGCUCAUCCCAUAUAUGUGAACGACUUUCUUGAAUAAGCUUCCUCUUGUUUGCUCCUGGUGGUACAUACCCUGAAACCAUAAAAUUAACAAUAUCUGCAUACCAGGGGUCAGACCUGUUAAUCCCGUAGAGCAUGUCGUCCCGGAGUGAAUCAUUGAUGGGGGUUUCCUAUGGACUCUUAAAGUAUAUUCUAGACAAGUGAUCAGCAACAGAAUUUUCUACUCCCUUUUUAUCUUUUAUUUCUAAGUCAAAUUCUUGGAGUAAUAAGAUCCAUCUAAUCAGGCGAGGUUUAGCAUCUUUUUUAGCGAGCAAAUAUUUUAGUGCAGCAUGAUCAGUGUAAACAAUUAUUUUAGCUCCAACUAAAUAACAUCUAAAUUUAUCAAUGGCAAAGACAACAGCCAGAACUCUUUUUCAGUGGUUGCAUAAUUAAGUUGAGCUCCUGUCAAAGUUUUACUGGCAUUUACAAUUGCAUGAUGCUUCUUAUUUUUAGUUUGUCCCAAUACUGCCCCUACAGCAUAAUCACUAGCAUCACACAUAAUUUCAAAAGGCAACGACCAAUCAGGGGGUUGAAUGAUUGGUGCAGAGAUGAGUGCUUUCUUUAAUAAAUUAAAAAAUGUUAGACAUGCAUCAUCAAAUUCGAAAGGAACAUCCUUGGCUAGCAAAAGAGUAAGUGGUCUAGCAAUAAAUGAAAAAUCUUUUAUUAAUCUACAAUAAAAACCAGCAUGGCCAAGAAAGCUUCGAAUUCCUUUUAUAUUCACAGGUGGAGGUAGUUGUUCAAUUACUUCAAUUUUAGCUUUAUCUACCUCAAUACCUCUUUCAGACACUAAGUGUCCCAGCACUAUUCCUUCUCUAACCAUAAAAUGACAUUUUUCCCAAUUAAGGACUAAGUGCUUUUCUUCACAUCUUUGCAAAACCUUGUCUAAGUUUUCUAGACAACUAUCAAAAGUUUUUCCAUAAACAGAGAAAUCAUCCAUGAAAACUUCCAUAAUCUCUUCAAUCAUAUCAGAAAAUAUAGACAUCAUGCAUCUUUGAAAAGUAGCUGGUACAUUACAUAACCCAAAAGACAUUCUACGGUAAGCAUAAGUUCCAUAUGGGCAUGUAAAAGUGGUUUUGCUUUGAUCAUCGGGAUGGAUCGGGAUAUGAUACCCUGAAUAUCCAUCUAAGAAACAGAAGAACGAAUGGUCGCUAACCGCUCUAGCAUCUCAUCUAUGAAAGGUAAAGGAAAGUGAUCCUUUCUCGGGGCUUUGUUUAGUUUUCUAUAGUCUAUGCACAUCCGCCAUCCUGUGACGGUGCGUUGCGGAAUUAGCUCAUUCUUUUCAUUCAUAAUAACAGUCAUGCCUCCGUUUUUAGGCACAACUUGAACUGGGCUUGCCCACUCACUGUGCGGCACAGGAUAUAUAAUCCCUGCAUGCAGUAACUUUAUAACUUCCUUUUUAACUACCUCUCUCAUAGUGUUAUUAAGUCUACGUUGGGGUUCUCGAGAGGGUGAAACAGAAGGAUCUGUUGGAAUACGAUGGGUACAAAUCAUAGGACUGAUUCCUGUAAGAUCUUGGAGUGAGUAGCCGAAAACUGAGUGAUGUUUCUCAAGAAUGGUCAUUAAUCGCAGAGUUUGCUCCUGAGUGAGUUUAUUGCUAAUGAUCACAGGAAACUCUGGAUUAUUGUUUAGGAAAGCAUAGGUAAGACCGGGUGGUAAAGUUUUAAGCUCUAUGGGGGGUCUAGGUGUUUCUGCAAACUCAUCUAAAGGUUCAGGUUCAGAAGGUUCGGCUUCUUCUUCUGUGAAGAAAGGAGUUUCGUCUUCUAAGUCUGGUUCAUCUGAAAGCUCUAGAGAUGCAGCCUUUACCUCCUCCAUAGGAUCAGGCAAAAGAUAUGAUUCGGCCUUAUUGUUUAAGGAGUGUGAAAUUGUUAUUGGGAAUUUAAAGGCUUUUCCAAAAGAAAUGUGUAGCUUUCCAGUAUGACCUUCGUAAAGGAGUCUUCUAAAAGGUUGUCCUAUCAACAGGUCAAAGUCCCAUGUAUCAAAGAUAUAGAAGUUCAAAUGAACCAUGGAGCCUUCUACCGUAAGAGGUAGGACAUUAAUAAUUCGAAGACUGGAGACUAAUCGUCCCGAAGAUUCCUUUAUGACCUUUGUUGUGGGGGUUAAGACAAGAUUUUUAAAUAGUUUAAGUGUAAAAGAUUUAGACAUGAUGUUGAUCCCCACAACAGGAUUAUAAAGAGCAUUAAAUCGAUCGGAAUUAUAAGCACAGCGUAUAGUUAUAGAGGGUGUGUCCAGACGGAUCACAUCAGAGGAAAGCUCUAAUUCCUCCAACCAUUCGCUACUCAUGACUGAGAUAAGCUCUCUCAAUUGGUAUUCACUUGGCAAAUAAAUGCUAAACUGGUCGUUUUGGGGUUUGUCAAUAGAAUGGUAGUUUGAAAUGUUUUCAAAAUCGGCAAAAAGAUCGGAUUCUAUAUCCAGCAUGAAGUCCGGUGGUGGAAUUUCUUCCUCUUGUGGCUCAGAACUUGGGAUAGCUAAAGUAGAUGAAGAAUUUGGCAGAGUGUCUACUUCGGCUUCGUAGGUUUCAUCAUGAAGGGUAUUAUCCAUCUCAGCUUCUAGGAUUCUAUUUAGGAUCACUCUAGCUUCAUCAGUAGGGAUGCGAAAGAAACAACCUCUAGACAUUGUGUGUAGCAUUUGUUUGUGAUUUUUCAGAAGACCUCGAAAAAAGUGAAAUAAAAGAACAGGGUCUUCAAGAUUAAGGUUUGGACCAAAUUCUAAAAGAUCAGAAAAACGUUUCCAGGAUUUUCCCAAAGUUUCAUUAUCUUUUUGUUUAAAAGAUAGGACUUCAAGUCUAAGGUUGGCUAUACGGUCGAGGGAAUAGAAAUCUAGACAAAAGUUGGCUCGUAAAACUCCCCAUUCACCUCGUUGUCGACUUACCUUCUCACUGUACCAUUGUCUAGCUUCUCCCCUUAAGGAAAAAGGAUAAAGCUUCCAACGUAAAGUUUUAUCAGAAAUGCCUUCAAUGCGAAGACAAUCACAUGUUUGCUCAAAAUCUCUAAUAUGAAGGUAAGGGUUUUCGUCUUCCUUUCCCAAAAAAGAUAGGUUUUGAAUCAUGGCAAUCAACCUAGAACUUAACUUAUACUAGGAUGUUUGGAUAGGCUGUGAUGACUCCCACGGUAAAAGGUCAGUUACUGAAGGGAUUGCAGACUCAUGGAUUGAUUUAGAAUUUUGGUUUUCCAUAAGGUAAGAGUAAAGAAAAUAAAUAAAGAAUAUAAAAGAUAAGAAAAGAUAAAAGUAUAGAUACAAGCUAGUAGUAAGACUCAAGGUUAUCUCAGUAAACCGUCUUUCUCCCCAGCAAAGGCGCCAGAAAUGCUUGUUGAUAUUUGGGAACGCAAUAAGGAAUUGAUCCGCAAGCGCACGGAUAUCGGUGAGCACUUCACCCGGGAAAUUAUCCAGAGUAUCGUAUUUAUUUUUUUACCACUAGGAGAAAGAGUGCAUCUGACUAACCGGUCUAUUACUACUAACCCUUUAGGCAACAAAGAAUGUCUCUCGAUGUGAGUGAUAAAUAGAGAAGACUGCAACCGUAGUCUCCUUCUAACCUUGGUAAGGAUGAUCUACUGUUCUAUUGGGGAGGCUAACGGAAUCUAGACACCACAAAGGAUGUUCAACCCGCACCUAUAAACCCUAUCCUUCCUGCUAACGAGAUAUGGUCUGCAAAGGUAUCUCGGAAUUGUCACGUUCCUCACUACUACCAUAGUCCAGCUAGUCAGGGAAUAUCUAUGAGUACCCUAGCCUAAACACCACGUUUAUGCCAGCAAUGAUUACUCUAAACUCUACGCGAAGAUAUUAAAGUAAACUCAUAAACCAGAAGAACAAUAAAACAAGAACUUACUAGAAUUUAGAAGUCGGAAUACUGAAGAAUCCUAGGAGCAAGCUUCGGGUUAGGAGAACUUGAUCCCGCAGGUACAAGCUUGGAGUAGACACCGACAGGCCGGGCUUCCUCCAAUCUACACCUCCACUCUAUCUCUCUCAAUCUAGUAGAAACUAGAAGAUCUAUUUCUACUUUACAUUGGUUGCUAAGCCUAAAAAGAAAUAUUAAUUAGAGAAGAGGUUUUCCUUCGAGGGCACCCCUCAAUCUCUAUGAUAAUUUCUUCAUGUCUUCUCCAGGGGCCAGGGGGUCUCCUUAUAUAGUCCUCCUCCUCUAUGCGCUUUUGGGUCGGUAGGCGAGGUGGUACUAUGGUUUUCUUGAUCCAAUAGGUCGGUGGAAUAUCCCGUGCGAAGAGAGUCCUGAUUGGCAUCCAGCAGGGGGCGAGCGCCUAGGUCACCAGGGCGGGCGCCCUGGGCCUGGCCCCUUUUGGCCUCCGUCUUCUUCCCGUGGCUUCUGGAGUCUUCUAGAUGGUAGAAAAUCACGCGGUGCGUUGAUAUCUCUAUGUAAUCCCGACAUGUGGGCCUUUCUUCCUUAUUUCCUGAUAACCCCCUGCAGAAAUAGAUAAACAACAAAACUCGUGGAAUUCUGUCAAAUCAAACCCUAAUUCUAGGUGUUGGUUGUAUAUUGGUCCUUUCUCUUGUUUAUUUGAUAAUUAAAAUUGAUACUUAAGAACCGUCAACAAAUACCCCCAUACUUAGGCUUUUACUCGUCCUCGAGAAAAGGAUGGUUAAGAACAAUAUCUGGGGUAAAACAUUUUAAAACAUUCUUUAUAUUUGCAGGGUGUUAAAAAUCCACUGUGUACCAUAGUCAGGGAUGUUUAUGGUUAAGAGUAAAGAUCCUUUCUUCUCAAUCCUGUCACUUGGAGUUUUUGUAUACUUUUGAAAAAAAUUAGCAUACCUUUUUAUCCUCAUAGGUUCUUCUCAGAUCACUCAUUAUCUUUUAUAUAUCUCACUGAGGUUGUUUUAUUUUGCUAAAAUUCUCAAGCAUACUUACUUUGCAUUUAUUGCCUAAUCAAAACGGGAUCCGAGGAGGGGAAUGUCAUACUCUUAGAUCAAAGACUUUGGAAAUUAAAAUCUUUGUCAACUCUUGCUGGCAUAUUGCUUAUUAGAGGGACCAUGGGCUAUCAUUUUCUCAUUUUCUUUUUUUUAAGUGGAUACCGAAGUACCCCUAAUUCUACUGUCGGACACUUGUCCAUUUUUCCUGCGAGGUUGUCGAGCACUUGCUCCUUUUUAUUUCCUCGAAAUAUCUUUAUUUUUGCAUAGCCCAUGCCUCUAAUGCAAUAAUACUUCGGAAGAGUGAAUCUUUCUGAAUAAAUGUCUUGAUCUUAGGAGCAUGAUAAAUCUCUCAACAAGGGUCUAAAUCAUUUUGAACAAACUCAAUACAGAGCAGAUAGCUUUUAUAAUCAUAAUUAAUAUUUUCAGUUUUAUCAGACAUAUAAAACACUGAGGAUGGU